GCAGGGGUGGCGGAGCCUGGAAAACGCGCCAGACUCAAGAUCUGGUGGCCUAGCGCCUACGCAGGUUCAAAUCCUGCCCCCUGCA
rnacentral:tRNA from 1 species